rnacentral:rRNA from 1 species
CCUGCCCAGUGACACUGUUCAACGGCCGCGGUAUCCUAACCGUGCGAAGGUAGCGUAAUCACUUGUUCUUUAAAUGAGGACUAGUAUGAAUGGCACCACGAGGGUUAUACUGUCUCCUUUCUCUAAUCAGUGAAACUAAUCUCCCCGUGAAGAAGCGAGGAUAAAUUUAUAAGACGAGAAGACCCUAUGGAGCUUUAAACUAAAUAACAAUUGCUACUUUAUAAUACCCACUUUCAGAAAAUUAAACUCUUAUACUAGCAUUAUAAUUAUUAGUUUUAGGUUGGGGUGACCGCGGAGUAAAAAACAACCUCCACAUUGAAAGGAUUAACCUCCUAAACUUAGAGCCACAUCUCCAAGUAUCAAAAAAUUGACACCAAUUGACCCAAUUUAUUGAUCAACGAACCAAGUUACCCUAGGGAUAACAGCGCAAUCUACUUCAAGAGCCCCUAUCGACAAGUAGGUUUACGACCUCGAUGUUGGAUCAGGGUAUCCCAG